AUGUUGCCAGAAAUUCAGGAAUUACUGGAGGAAUACAAGGAUGUUUUUGCUAUUCCAACUGGAUUACCACCAUAGAGAGCCUGUGAUCACUCUAUUCCUCUUAUUCCAGGUGCUAGGCCAUUUUCACACAGACCAUACAUGCUAGCGCCAGAGUUAAAAGAUGAGGUGGAAAAGCAAAUCCAGGAAAUGCUCGACUCUGGUGUAAUUAGAAGGAGUAACAGU
rnacentral:rRNA from 1 species